AGACUAGAGUAACAUUUUGUAUAUGGGCAACCGCUUCCCUAUCCAUUCAUCUACUGAGGGCCCCCUAGGAUGCUUCCAUACCUUCGUAGUUGUAAAGAGGGCAGCAAUAAAGAGAAAGAUGGUAUUCUCACUUGCAGCUGGUGUAUUUUAAGUGAUUUACCAAGUAUUCUGCUUAACUCACUCUGUAUUAAAUUUCAGAUGUUUAAGAACUGAAAGAUUUGCAACAACGUGGAUGGGGCUAGAGGGUCUUAUGCUCAGUCAAUUAUGCCAGGCAGAGAAAGACAAGCAUCAGAUGAUUUCACUCAUCUGCGGACCAUAAGAACAGAAAAAAACUGAAUGCACAAAACAGGAGCCGAUUCACAGGACCCGAGAAUGAACUAAGAAAUACGAAAGAAUGCCCGCGUUGGCUCCGGCGCCUGGGCUAGAGGCGGGUGGGCAUUGUUUGCUGGCGGCGCGGGAUCCCACGUUGCUAGAAGACGGCGCGCGCAUGGUAACCCGCGGCUCGCGGCUCAGACAACGCCAGGCCGCGGUGCCCCCAUCCCCCCGCCACCCAGCUCAGCCAGCGCGGCCCGCCCCCGGCACCAGGUAUCAUUGAUAUACACUGCUCUGAAGCUUUCACAAGAAACCUUCAAUGUGGGUACUACCUUCACCCAUAUUAUCAAGCUCCUCUGUACCCCAUUGCGGUCCCGGUCCAUCAACAUAGCACGAUGCCACGAAGUCCGUUCUUUUCUUCUCUGAGCUACGUUGUUUCCCCGUGACCCCACACACACCAGGCGCGCCAAUCAUAAUACCCUUGAAUCCUCUUCUCUCUGCCAUAACAAGCCCCUCUUGUAACCGCUGAUGGCUUCUUGGAGUCUGUGAGUCCUCUGCUGUUUUUUUCCUUCAGAUUUGCUUUGAUAUAAUAGCCCACAAAUGAGGGCAAUCAUUUGGUACUUGUCCUUCUCCCCCUGGCUUAUUUCACUGAGUCUGGCUCCAUCCAUGUUCUUGCAAAUGGUAGGAUCUGUUUCCUUAUUAUGGCUGAAUAGUGUAACAUUUUGUAUAUGUGCAACCUCUUCUCUAUCCAUUCAUCUACUGUGGGCCCGUUAGGAUGCUUCCAUACCUUGGUCGUUGUAAAGAGGGCUGCAAUAAACAGAUAGAUGGUAUUCUCACGUGAAGCUGGUGUAUUUUAAGUGAUUUACUAGGUAUUCUGCUAAACUCACACUGUAUUACAGUUCAGAGCUUUAAGAACUGAAAGAAAGAUUUGCAACAACGUGGAUGGGGCUAGAGGGUCUUAUCCUCCGUCAAAUACGCCAGGCCGAGAAAGACAAGCAUCAAAUGAUUUCACUCAUCUGCGGACCAUAAGAACAGACAAAGCUGAA